AGAGUUUGAUCCUGGCUCAGGACGAACGCUGGCGGCGUGCUUAACACAUGCAAGUCGAACGGAAAGGCCUCUUCGGAGGUACUCGAGUGGCGAACGGGUGAGUAACACGUGGGUAAUCUGCCCUGCACUUCGGGAUAAGCCUGGGAAACUGGGUCUAAUACCGAAUACGACCAUUUAGCGCAUGCUUUAUGGUGGAAAGCUUUUGCGGUGUGGGAUGGGCCCGCGGCCUAUCAGCUUGUUGGUGGGGUGACGGCCUACCAAGGCGACGACGGGUAGCCGGCCUGAGAGGGUGUCCGGCCACACUGGGACUGAGAUACGGCCCAGACUCCUACGGGAGGCAGCAGUGGGGAAUAUUGCACAAUGGGCGCAAGCCUGAUGCAGCGACGCCGCGUGGGGGAUGAAGGCCUUCGGGUUGUAAACCUCUUC
rnacentral:rRNA from 1 species